rnacentral:rRNA from 1 species
AGUGAACGCUGGCGGUAGGCCUAACACAUGCAAGUCGAACGGCAGCACAGUAAGAGCUUGCUCUUACGGGUGGCGAGUGGCGGACGGGUGAGGAAUACAUCGGAAUCUACUUUUUCGUGGGGGAUAACGUAGGGAAACUUACGCUAAUACCGCAUACGACCUACGGGUGAAAGCAGGGGAUCUUCGGACCUUGCGCGAUUGAAUGAGCCGAUGUCGGAUUAGCUAGUUGGCGGGGUAAAGGCCCACCAAGGCGACGAUCCGUAGCUGGUCUGAGAGGAUGAUCAGCCACACUGGAACUGAGACACGGUCCAGACUCCUACGGGAGGCAGCAGUGGGGAAUAUUGGACAAUGGGCGCAAGCCUGAUCCAGCCAUACCGCGUGGGUGAAGAAGGCCUUCGGGUUGUAAAGCCCUUUUGUUGGGAAAGAAAAGCAGCAGGUUAAUACCCCGCUGUUCUGACGGUACCCAAAGAAUAAGUACCGGCUAACUUCGU